CAAGGGGUAAGAGAGCCUUCAGCGCGAGGGUUUGGGAUCGAGGGGUGGCGUCGCCGGUGGCGGAGAGCUGGGGGCGGGGGAGGGAGGGCCAAGCGGCGGGCGAAGGAAGAGGGCGUAGUCGCUGGGGAGAGGGGACGGGCCGGCGAGCGACUUAGUAGGCGCGCAAACUAGACGUCCACGCGCGAACAACGACGUCUGCUCUUCGCCGACUCCGCUUCUUCUCCUUAGCUGGUACCGCUGGGCAUAGGUCAAACUCUUGUUGACACUUCAACCACAAAAGAGGUUCGAGUGUUUACGGAUGACAGACCAACGUUAACCUCCUAGUCUCUUAAAGAUGUCAUGUAAACUCAGACUCGAACGUCUACAGUAAGGACACCAGUUCUGGAGAUAGCCACCGUGAUCUUAUUAACCAGCGGAGACGCAACCUUUGUUCUUACCUGAAGAGGACGGUGUGUGUUGGUGACUAGUUCUCGAAGUCGUAGACUCCUUGACGUAUGGACUAGUUCACCAACAAGUCGCGUAGCUACUCUCCGACAGGCGGGAACCGUUAACGUAUAGGACGUUACUGGUACAACGCGAGUGUGUGGGACUGGAACUGUUCCGUUGACUCCUCGAAUAACGUCUACACGAACCCCAACUCCACAAGGCAGUCUGUUAACGUCCUUUAUAGGAACAACCGUCGAUGACACGUAAGAGAUUGUCCCCACCUGACCAGGUAGGAGUGUGUAGGUAACUUCUAGAACUACUCGACAGGUGUGAGGAGGUUCAGGGAGAACAUCGACCUUGGCACUUGGCACCAUCGCUCCAGUAACGACGCCCGUACUGCCACUUGCUGACCUGGCGGAAGACACCCAGUCUGUGUUGGCGAUGACUCGACAGGCAGUAGCUCUCGCAGAAGUUCAACUCUCUUCCGGUCGGGUGCCGCUAGCAGCUACUGUACUCCUUCAGCGACUAACUGUCGAUACAGAUUUACUAGUUUCCCGUACGCCACGCCACACCAAGAACUCGACAUGAGAACCAACUGUCAUCGUUUUUUGGCACGGACAGAUUCGACAAUGAAGACAGACCAGAAGACUUAGACCUUGAUGUUUGAAUAUACGAAACAUGAGCAUAUUUCGAAUACCAUAGCCUUCUGCACGAGAACGCGAAAACACUAUAAUCUUAGAAUAUUGACGCUCACUACAACCAAAAUGAUAUAAGCUCGUAACCGGUUGAAACCGAUGUAGACGUAACUGCUAAGUACAUAGUUUUCAUAUUAGCCGUGUACGGAAAACGAGCGAAUAACAUAUGCUCAUGUUUUAGUAAUGUGUGUAUAUUGGACGGU
rnacentral:rRNA from 1 species